CGGCAAGAGCUCAAAUUUGAAAUCUGGCCCUCCGCGGGGUCCGAGUUGUAAUUUGUAGAGGAUGCUUUUGGGUAGCUGCCGGUCUAAGUUCCUUGGAACAGGACGUCACAGAGGGUGAGAAUCCCGUACGUGACCGGCGAGGCGCCCUCCGUAAAGCUCCUUCGAC
rnacentral:rRNA from 1 species